rnacentral:misc_RNA from 1 species
AAGUCGUAACAAGGUUUCCGUAGGUGAACCUGCGGAAGGAUCAUUAACACGUUUCCACGUAUUUAUCAACCAACCACCACGAACUGUUCUCCCCGAGACUUACCUAAACGCGAAGCUGUGUUGUGAGGUUAAGGCGGGCCCCGCCUGUGCGCUUGUACGUACGGCCGUAAGGACCAUCUUGUGACACUAUCAAUCCGUUGAGAUUGUGGCUGAGUACCUGGUUUGUCGGGCUUUAGGAUCAUUCAGGUAGUUCUUCACCGUCUGCGUGAACGCCGGAAUGAGCACAUACCCCACUUGUUUCACCCUAUUUUGACCUAAUUGGCUAAUAUUAACAGGACGUGAGAGAAAUCUCUCGGCCUUACUAAGAUUUAUUCUUAACUAAGCACAACUCUUAGCAAUGGAUAUCUUGGUUCUC